UACGUAGGGGGCAAGCGUUGUCCGGAAUCAUUGGGCGUAAAGAGCGCGUAGGCGGCCCGAUAAGUCCGCUGUGAAAGUCAAGGGCUCAACCCUUGAAUGCCGGUGGAUACUGUCGGGCUAGAGUCCGGAAGAGGCGAGUGGAAUUCCUGGUGUAGCGGUGAAAUGCGCAGAUAUCAGGAGGAACACCGGUGGCGAAGGCGGAUCUCUGGGCCUUGCCUGACGCUGAGGCGCGAAAGCUAGGGGAGCGAACAGG
rnacentral:rRNA from 1 species